rnacentral:rRNA from 1 species
UACGUAGGGUCCGAGCGUUGUCCGGAAUUAUUGGGCGUAAAGGGCUCGUAGGCGGUUGGUCACGUCGGGAGUGAAAACCCAGGGCUUAACUCUGGGCUUGCUUUCGAUACGGGCAGACUAGAGGUAUGCAGGGGAGAACGGAAUUCCUGGUGUAGCGGUGAAAAUGCGCAGAUAUCAGGAGGAACACCGGUGGCGAAGGCGGUUCUCUGGGCAUUACCUGACGCUGAGGAGCGAAAGUGUGGGGAGCGAACAGG